rnacentral:rRNA from 1 species
CAAUAGCGUAUAUUAAAGUUGUUGCAGUUAAAAAGCUCGUAGUUGAAUUUCUGGUGGGCGCGCCGGUCUUCCAAGUGUUGUACUGGGCGCAGUCCGCCAUCCUUGUGGAGAGGGCUCGCAUUGAGUUGCGUGUCGGAUCUGCAUCAUUUACUGUGAAAAAAUUAGAGUGUUUAAAGCAGGCUGUCGCUUGAAUACAUUAGCAUGGAAUAAUAAGAUGGGACUUCGGUCUAUUUUGUUGGUUGCGAACCGAGGUAAUGAUUAAUAGGGAUAGUUGGGGGUAUUCAUAUUUCAUUGUCAGAGGUGAAAUUCUUGGAUUUAUGAAAGAUGAACAACUGCGAANGNAUUUACNAAGGAUGUUUNCAUUA